CACUCCCGCUCAAGACCCAGCUCUGCCCUCAGCAGCUCCAACACCCUCAGUUCCCCCAGCUGCAAAAUGGGGUGCAGACUGUAUCAACUCAGAGUACAUAUCAGGAAGAGGGGACGCCGCUGCAGAACAUCCUACCACCGUCCACGUCUUCUCAGACUCAGAGCCGUUUGCCGGGACCGCCCACGGCACACCUCCAGGGGGCGCAAUUCCCAUCACAUUCUAUAGAGGUGGCACCCUGGAGAGGAGCCCGCAGGCCACAAGUGAACGGUCCCAUGUGGCGCAUCCCCUCCCCGGAUGACCUCGUUCCCACAGCCCUCCGGCCACGCCCAGCGGCGCCCCCACCUCAGGGCCUUUUGCACCUGCCACCCCUCUGCCUGGGAUUCUUGCCCAGAUGGCCACAUGGCUCACACCCUCACUUCCUCUGCUGACCCUCUCCCGCUAUGAGACUCAUUCUUCUCUGCAGUUUCCGCCACGGUGUCUGUUGCUCGGUCGCAUCCCUCUAGAUUGUCAGCUCUGUGGCAGCAGGGGACCAUCUCUGUCCUGUCCCCAGUUCACUCCCAGCACUGCAAACUGGGCUCAGCCCCAGUAGGUAGUCAAAAAAGAGUCGUUAAAUGAAACACCAAAUAAGGGCC